UAGCCUACGGGGCGCAGCAGUGGGGAAUAUUGGGCAAUGGGCGCAAGCCUGACCCAGCAACGCCGCGUGAAGGAAGAAGGCUUUCGGGUUGUAAACUUCUUUUAAGAGGGAAGAGCAGAAGACGGUACCUCUUGAAUAAGCUCCGGCUAACUACGUGCCAGCAGCCGCGGUAAUACGUAGGGAGCAAGCGUUAUCCGGAUUUACUGGGUGUAAAGGGCGUGUAGGCGGGCCUGCAAGUCAGAAGUGAAAUCUGGGGGCUUAACCCCUAAACUGCUUUUGAAACUGUGGGUCUUGAGUGAUGGAGG
rnacentral:rRNA from 1 species